rnacentral:rRNA from 1 species
UACGUAGGUGGCAAGCGUUGUCCGGAAUUACUGGGUGUAAAGGGAGCGUAGGCGGGAAUGCAAGUUGAAUGUGAAAUUUACGGGCUCAACUCGUAAACUGCGUUCAAAACUGUGUUUCUUGAGUUAAGUAGAGGCAGGCGGAAUUCCCUGUGUAGCGGUGAAAUGCGCAGAUAUAGGGAGGAACACCAGUGGCGAAGGCGGCCUGCUGGGCUUUUACUGACGCUGAGGCUCGAAAGCUAGGGGAGCAAACGGG